UACGUAGGCAGCGAGCGUUGUUCGGAGUUACUGGGCGUAAAGGGUGUGUAGGCGGUUCUUUUAAGUUUGGUGUGAAAUCUCCCGGCUCAACCGGGAGGGUGCGCCGAAUACUGAGGGACUAGAGUAUGGGGAUGGGAAAGUGGAAUUCCUGGUGUAGCGGUGAAAUGCGUAGAUAUCAGGAGGAACACCUGUGGUGUAGACGGCUUUCUGGACCAUAACUGACGCUGAGACACGAAAGCGUGGGUAGCAAACAGG
rnacentral:rRNA from 1 species